rnacentral:rRNA from 1 species
AGAUUGAACGCUGGCGGCAUGCCUUACACAUGCAAGUCGAACGGCAGCACGGGGGCAACCCUGGUGGCGAGUGGCGAACGGGUGAGUAAUGCAUCGGAACGUGCCCAGUAGUGGGGGAUAACUAGUCGAAAGAUUAGCUAAUACCGCAUACGACCUAUGGGUGAAAGCGGGGGAUUCGCAAGAACCUCGCGCUAUCGGAGCGGCCGAUGUCUGAUUAGCUAGUUGCGGGUAAAGCCACCAAGGCGACGAUCAGUAGCUGGUCUGAGAGGACGACCAGCCACACUGGGACUGAGACACGGCCCAGACUCCUACGGGAGGCAGCAGUGGGAAUUUUGGACAAUGGGCGCAAGCCUGAUCCAGCCAUGCCGCGUGCGGGAAGAAGGCCUUCGGUAUAAACCGCUUUUGGCAGGAACGAAACGGCGCGAGCGAAUAUCUCGCGUUAAUGACGGUACCUGCAGAAUAAGCUACCGGCUAACUACGUGCCAGCA